AAGGCCCCGCGCCUGCCCGCUCCGGUGAGACCGAGGCCCCGCGUGCCCGCUCUGGCGAGGUGGAGCCCGUGCGUGCCCGCGUCCCAGUCUACUCCGGCGAAGCCGAGGCCCUGCGUGCCCGCUCCGGCGAGGCGGAGCCCGCGUCCCAGCCUACUCCGGCGAGGACGAGGCCCUGCGUGCCCGCAUCGCUGCUGUAGGCUGCUGGGGAGGAGGCAGCGGACCACGGCGCCUUGCGGGGUGGAUCCGGUGGCCGGUGCCUAGAUCCGGCGGCUAGUGACGAGGGAAGCUCGUAGGGCGUCGCCGCUGUGUCAAGUGAGGCGGUCGGAGCCGGCGAGGCUAGCGAAGAUGGUUGCGGGCAGGUGCAUGGCACGGUGGUAGCGGUCGACAUGGUGGCGUGGUGGCCUGAGGAUGAAGAAGAGAAUGGGGAAAUAAGACAUGUGGCUGACAGGUUGGGCCCUGUGUCCACCUCAGCGGGUCAACACAUUGACUAGGACUAGUUUUAUCCACAUCAGCCUGACGAACGGGUCCCGCUCUUCAGUUUUGUUGUUAGUCACGACUAACAUCUGAUUCAGUGCGAUUUGUUAUUCACUAGGCGCAGAAGUGGUGGUUUUUUGUGAUUUUUGACAAAAAUGGUGGUUUUGAAGUACCCUAGCCACAAAUGUGGUGGUUUUGAGCAAUUUACUCAUUUUUCUUGUGUCUAAUUCGGUUGCAGCGAUGCUCCGUGUCGAGGGGGGGACGCCCUGAUUCCGCGCUGUUGCCGUACGUGAGAUCUCGGGGUGGCCAUCUCGCGGCGGCGACAUGCCGUCUCUGCAGCUGCUGCAGUUGACGGACCGCGGACAGGUGCUUCUGGCUUCCAAGAGGAGGACUCUCGCUGUUGUUUCUGGCGCGCUGAUUGCUGGUGGAGCUUUGGCCUAGGCGACUACUAGGCGCCGGCGCGCCGGCCGAAAUUUUCGGCCGGUCAACGCCCCAGCGUUGGAUACAGCCAUAUGUAACCGUCAGAUCCAGAUAAAAAAAA